UACGAAGGGGGCUAGCGUUGCUCGGAAUCACUGGGCGUAAAGGGUGCGUAGGCGGGUCUUUAAGUCAGGGGUGAAAUCCUGGAGCUCAACUCCAGAACUGCCUUUGAUACUGAAGAUCUUGAGUUCGGGAGAGGUGAGUGGAACUGCGAGUGUAGAGGUGAAAUUCGUAGAUAUUCGCAAGAACACCAGUGGCGAAGGCGACUUCCUGGCCUGUUCUUGACGCUGAGGCGCGAAAGCUAGGGGAGCAACGGGG
rnacentral:rRNA from 1 species